AUGCCUGAUGCAAUAGGGGGAUUUAACAAUGACAGGGUGGAUCUGGAGGGCUUUAACCCAUGUGACAGCUCAGGCUGGAAGAAGAUAUUUGGAGAAGGAAUUAAGCUCAUAGUAACUGCCUGUGAUAAAAACCGUGCUGCAGACCUGUCCCCCACGCCCACUAUUUUUCUUCCUUCAAAUGCUGAAAUCAACCUCGAAAGGGCUGGAACAUAUCUUUGUCUCCUGGAGAAAUUUUUUCCUGGUGUUAUUAAAGUUUAUUGGAAAGAAAAGAAUGACAAGAAAGUUCUGCCAUCCCAGCAGGGAAACACCAUGAAGACUAAUGACACAUACAUGCAGUUCAGCUGGCUGACCGUGACCGAAAACUCCAUGGAUAAAGAACACGUAUGUGUCGUCACACACGAGACAGGCAAGGGAAGAAAAAAUCAAGAGACUCUUUUUCCUUCAAUGAAUGAAGUCGUCACCUCAGCUGUCCCUACUACUGAGUCUCCCAAUGAUUGUUUGAAGGAGGAUAGUGAAGUCCUUGAUACUGAUUCUACAGGAGCUUGUGCAAGAGAUGAAAGUGAAGUCACUGCUGUGAAUUCUACAAAUGGUUGUCUGAAAGAUGAAAGCAACACCCUGCAGCUGCAGCUCCUGAGCACCUCUGCCUUUUACACCUACCUCCUCCUUCUCGUCAAGAGUGCCAUCUACUUCGUCAUCACCGCCUGCUGUGUGUGUAGGAGAACAGCCCUCUGCGGUGCUGGGAAGAGCUCGUGA